AACGAACGCUGGCGGCGUGGAUAAGACAUGCAAGUCGAACGAGAUUUUCUUUGGUAGCAAUACCGAAGAAAGUCUAGUGGCGAACGGGUGCGUAACACGUGGGCAAUCUGCCUUAAAGUGGGGGAUAGCUCGGCGAAAGCCGGAUUAAUACCGCAUGUGAUCAGGGGAGACAUCUUCCCGAAAUCAAAGGUGGCGCAAGCUACCGCUUUUUGAGGAGCCCGCGGCCUAUCAGCUAGUUGGUGAGGUAACGGCUCACCAAGGCUUUGACGGGUAGCUGGUCUGAGAGGACGACCAGUCACACUGGAACUGAGACACGGUCCAGACACCUACGGGUGGCAGCAGUCGAGAAUUUUUCUCAAUGGGGGAAACCCUGAAGGAGCGACGCCGCGUGGAGGAUGAAGGUCUUCGGGUUGUAAACUCCUGUCAUUUGGGAACAAUGCUUAGCGGUUAACUGCCGUUGAGUUGAUAGUACCAGAAGAGGAAGAGACGGCUAACUCUGUGCCAGCAGCCGCCGUAACAC
rnacentral:rRNA from 1 species